GGCCGUAUGGUGCAAUGGUUAUACACACCUGGCAGUGCUCUCGCUGCCAUGAGAAGCAAGCGGGUUCGAAUCCCGCUACGGCCU